GGAGGAUUGUGGCUCAGUGGUGGAGCGUCUGCCUUGCACACAGAAGGUUCCAGGUUCAAUCCCUGGCGUCUCCA